GAUGAACGCUGGCGGCGUGCCUAACACAUGCAAGUCGAGCGAACGGACGAGAAGCUUGCUUUUCUGAUGUUAGCGGCGGACGGGUGAGUAACACGUGGAUAACCUACCUAUAAGACUGGGAUAACUUCGGGAAACCGGAGCUAAUACCGGAUAAUAUUUUGAACCGCAUGGUUCAAAAGUGAAAGACGGUCUUGCUGUCACUUAUAGAUGGAUCCGCGCUGCAUUAGCUAGUUGGUAAGGUAACGGCUUACCAAGGCAACGAUGCAUAGCCGACCUGAGAGGGUGAUCGGCCACACUGGAACUGAGACACGGUCCAUACUCCUACGGGAGGCAGCAGUAGGGAAUCUUCCGCAAUGGGCGAAAGCCUGACGGAGCAACGCCGCGUGAGUGAUGAAGGUCUUCGGAUCGUAAAACUCUGUUAUUAGGGAAGAACAUAUGUGUAAGUAACUGUGCACAUCUUGACGGUACCUAAUCAGAAAGCCACGGCUAACUACGUG
rnacentral:rRNA from 1 species